rnacentral:rRNA from 1 species
ACCUCAUAUGCUAAAUAGUGAAAGAUUUUUCGCCUAAGGAUGAGCUUACGUCUGAUUAGCUAGUUGGCAAAUUAAAAGCUUACCAAGGCAACGAUCAGUAGCUGGUUUGAGAGAAUGAUCAGCCACACUGGAACUGAGACACGGUCCAGACUUUUACGGAAGGCAGCAGUGGGGAAUUUUCCGCAAUGGGCGAAAGCCUGACGGAGCAAUACCGCGUGAGGGAAGAAUGCCUGUGGGUUGUAAACCUCUUUUCUUAAGGAAGAAAAAUGACGGUACUUAAAGAAUAAGCAUCGGCUAACUCCGUGCCAGCAGCCGCGGUAAUACGGGGGAUGCAAGUGUUAUCCGGAAUUAUUGGGCGUAAAGCGUCUGUAGGUGGUUAAAUAAGUCGGUUGUUAAAUAUUGAGGCUCAACCUUGAAUCAGCAGCCGAAACUGCUUGACUAGAGUAUGGUAUGGGUAGGGGGAAUUCCCAGUGUAGCGGUGAAAUGCGUAGAUAUUGGGAAGAACACCAGAAGCGAAGGCGCCCUACUAGGCCAUUACUGACACUCAGAGACGAAAGCUAG